ensembl:snoRNA LOC120098694 small nucleolar RNA SNORA17
CCUGUCCCAAGAGUCACUGCAGGUGUGGCUUCUGUGUUGCAUAUGCAUCAGUAGGUGACAGAGAGGAGUGUACCUAUGUCUACACUCAAUGUUCUGACCUGUGAACAUCAGAAUAGUUAGUGGCUUUGAAAA